rnacentral:misc_RNA from 1 species
GUUAUCAACUCGGAUUCCUUCUCUUGUACCUGACCUCUCUUUACCAAGAUUCCUUCAAACUUCAAGUGGUAUGCUUUUUUCUACCGCUUCUUCAAUUGCUACAGAGUUUAGUCCACAGGUUUCUGACACAAUUCACAACUUUAACUCAAUCCAGUUUCUUCCUCUUCCUAAUUUUGGUGAAAAUAGCAAACCCAAUUCAAUUAUAGGAAUUUCUCCAACGGGAGAGAACUAUGACCAAGUUGGGCUAUUUAUGCUCUGUUCUGAAGAUACCCAAUUUGUGGCUAAGAAAUUCAAGAAUGGUACAUCUAUUUUAGUGCAUAAUCACAAGUUGAAUUUUAGAAUUUUGAGGUUAUUAGUGAACCCAGUUAGUGAAAUUGAUGAUUCUUGUUCUUCUAGUUGUAUUACUUUUGGGUAUUUAUUGGUUUGUACUUUGUAUUCUGUUCAUUG